rnacentral:rRNA from 1 species
GAUGAACGCUGGCGGCGUGCCUAAUACAUGCAAGUCGAGCGAAUGGAUUAAGAGCUUGCUCUUAUGAAGUUAGCGGCGGACGGGUGAGUAACACGUGGGUAACCUGCCCAUAAGACUGGGAUAACUCCGGGAAACCGGGGCUAAUACCGGAUAACAUUUUGAACCGCAUGGUUCGAAAUUGAAAGGCGGCUUCGGCUGUCACUUAUGGAUGGACCGGCGUCGCAUUAGCUAGUUGGUGGGGUAACGGCUCACCAAGGCAACGAUGCGUAGCCGACCUGAGCGGGUGAUCGGCCCAACUGGGACUGGGACACGGCCAAGACUCCUACGGGAGGCAGCAGUAGGGAAUCUUCCGCAAUGGACGAAAGUCUGACGGAGCAACGCCGCGUGAGUGAUGAAGGCUUUCGGGUCGUAAAACUCUGUUGUUAGGGAAGAACAAGUGCUAGUUGAAUAAGCUGGCACCUUGACGGUACCUAACCAGAAAGCCACGGCUAACUACGUGCCAGCCGCCGCAGUAA